rnacentral:lncRNA from 1 species
AGCGUGUGUGUUAUCUGUCAUUUCAGCAGCUCGCACGUCUGCAGACACGCGCCGCAGAUGGGAACCUGGCGCGAGGGAGGCAGGAAUUCCGCUCCGCAGCCUCCUCCUGCACCACUGGCUCCGGGCCGCUGCCCCGCACCUGCAGCGCCCCGGGAGCGCCCCGGGUCCCCGGGGCCGGCCGGGUUCCGCCUGGCGGAGAGCAGGGACACAUCCAAGCACCCGCCCUUCCCCCCGCGCUGCCGCCAGCCGGCUCCGGAGCGAACAGCCGCGGGCUGGGGGAAGGGGCCCCCCGGGACCGUGGGCUCGCUCCCCUCCCGGGCGCCUGCGAGCGGCAGCGGGGGCGGCGGGGCUGCCCCCGGCCCGUGUUACCUGAGCGGAGCGGGGCUCGCCGGCGUCGCCUCCCCGGCCGCGGCGGAGCGGGGACGCGGGCGCGCCGGAAGCAGACACAGCCGCACGCUCACCUGCGCGCCCCCGCCGCCCCCCGCCUCCUCCGCCGCCGGCCCGCACCAACUCCCGCCGCCGCACGGGGACGGGGGGGAGGCGCGGGGCUGCCCGGCGGCCGCGGCCGCGCUCCCGCUGAGGGCCCUCACGGUGCCUCGGAGGAAGCAGUGGCGAGCGCCUCCCGGCUGGGCCGCGACUGCGCCUCGGGGCCGCUACGAAACAUUGGAACAGAUUGUCCAGAGAGGCUGUGGAGUCUCCCUCACUGGAGAUACUGAAGAGCCGUCUGGAUGCAAUCCCGUGCAAUGUGUUCUGCGCUGACCCUGCCUGGGCAGGGAGCUUGGACCAGAUUACCUUAUAUUUGCACCAGAGUUGGUUCCCCUGAGAGUAGUAAGAACAUGAGUAACAACAAUGCUUCUGUAAAACUGCAUGAAGGAACGAAAGUUUAUUUCAGGUAACACUGGAACUUCUGACAAUAUUUGUCAUCUCAUCCUUCACUGCGGUCAGCAUGAACAACACUGAAGAUGCAACUGGAGCUGUUCUGCUACUGCCACAAAUAUGUAAAAUUAAUGAAUUUUUAAAUAUUCAGAUCGAUUUUAUAACAAAGUCACUAAAAAUUUUUUAAAUAAAAUAUCAAAAAGUUAUAUUAGGUCCUGCUGA